UCUAUAGAUUUGCCUAUUGUGGAUGUUUGAUAUACGGUCGUUCAUCUCUUGAGGACGUCGAUACCUUCUAAGAAAUGCAUUGUUAGUGGUGCUGCUCACUGCCCUGAAACUGAAAAUACAGUAAUUGGAGGAACAUGUGACGUUUCCCAGGAGACAAAAGUCCCUAUUAUUUUUAGCAUAUGCUAAGCAAGCCCAGGGUUCAUUUUAGCUUGAACUUGAAGUCAGCAUCUUUUUCUCUGGAGCUGAAAGGAGUUGCAGAGACCCCAGAGGUGUUUCCUUGCAACUGACUUGAAAGGUUUGCAACUUUGAAACUACUUUCUGUAUAAACUUGGAUUGAGCAAACUGGCCUUUCCUCUAAUAAACACAGUCCACAGGAUAGGAGGUGGCAACCAGCAAACUGGCAGAUGCUUUCUGUAAGGGACGGAAGACUUCACCAUGGGGUUGGUGGCAGUGAUUUCCUUUUCAUUUUAAAAAGCUUAUAAAAUGUUGGCAAAGGAAGAACUUGA